UAUAUGCGCAUCAAGGGUUGC
rnacentral:piRNA from 1 species